ACCACACACCCAACAAACUGAGGAGAACUAGGCAGUUUUCUGAUCAGAGUUCAGAUAAGGAAGGUCACAGCAAUUUGCGGGCACUGACUAAAAUAACCCCACGGCUGGGAGAGUUACCACGUAAGCACACUGAAAAGAACUGCAGCUCGGAGCAUCUGUGGAGACUUCUGCAGACUAUAUUUCAGGCGUUCGAGAGUGCGCGCUGCAUCGAAAUCCAACCAAUAGCAAGGGGGAGCCUAGCUCUCCUUUUUAGCCUCCCUGUGUUCCCCCUACCUGAAGCAAGGGUGUGCUGCAGCUGCGAGAUGACCGCCCAGUGCCCUCCAGGCCCCUCCUACCCUGAUCCAACUGCGAAAGCAUAAAGGCAAGCCUCCAACGGUUUAAAGGAGAACCUUGCCCAAAUCAAGACCGACUUCUGGCCACCCUCACAUGUUUGUUUCACUGGCAGCCCUCUGCAACACGGGAACCAUCCUAAGAAGUAAGAAGGCAGGAAACAGAGAUCCCGGAUUGCUGGACCCUCAGUGGCAGAAGGGGAGCCCCUGAAUGCUAUAGCUGUAAUUAUCUUUCACAAAGUAAACCCAUUUCUGGGUGAGUAUUUGUAAAGGAAGACUGGGAAAUAUGCCCUGGAGAAAGAUCACCAGUUUAAUCACAAAAAUCAGUGGGUUAGGGGCAGAGUGAGGAAGAACGUGCUGAAAGGCACACCACCCUUCUGUGCCUCAGUUCUUUCCCUCCAGAAAGAAAUACAGGCUACUGACAGUGGAUUCAGUGUGGCCUCUUCAGCGGAAGCAGCAGAAACUGAAUUCUGGCUAGUUUCUUACAGAAAGUCCAUGAGGACAUUUACAGAAUAAAAAGGAAGGCUGAAGAACGCGACUCAUGGAUGACGGGCCAGCCAAUGUUGGGGUCUCUUUGGUAGACCCAGUAGCUGGCACUGUCGGUUGCCUUUGCUAGGUGGACAAUGCCCAGCUUCCAGCUGUUUCUCUUCUCAUCGUAUUCAACUGGCCUUAGUCUCAGUAGGGUGUCCCUUUGUCAAUGGGCACAUGCCUGUAAGGUUUUGAAUACCUGGAGUCCUCAAUUUGCUGAUUCACAGAGUAUCCCGGCAGAGGGAGCAGGGGGCACAAUGAUCUCACGGGACAUGAUGGUAUUGCUUCUAAAAGAAUGGGGAUCAGAAGGCCUUUCUCCUCCAUUGAUCAUGUUUACUGCUGUGGAUUGAACUGCUAUAAUUUUCCUGCCUAGGUUGAUGGUUAUCCGUUCCUAUCAGUCGGUUCAUUUUCAGUAUUGUGGCUUGAACCCAGAGCCUCAUGUAUGCCAAGGAAGCACUCUACCUCUGAGCUACACACAAGCCCCCAUCUCCUUUCAAAAUUCAUCUUUGAGAGACAUGCAGACAGGACUUGAACUUGUAAAUAUACUACCUCAGCCUCCUGAAUGGCUGGGAUAUGCCACCAUACCAGGCUAACUUGGAUUGACAACCUAGUCAUGGUUACCAGUUUGUGAACAUCAAAUGAACUUUUGAAGCAGAUGUAGUAUUGAAUUAUACCAGGACAAGAGAUGUGGGCUUUGGCAAUCCUUGCCAACUAAGGUGUGUGUGGCUCUGCUAUCAUUUUUCAUAACCGAGCUUGCUCAGACUUGGACAAUUUAAGGAAAACCAAAUGUUCUUCAAAGAAUGUGAAAGUCCACCUUCUUCUCUAUAUCCCCAGCAUCUCUUCUUGGCAUGGUGGUCCCUGAGGUAGCAUGGCUAUUGUUCGGAUUUGCAGGUGCCCCCAGGGUGUAGUGUGGUUACUGGUGGGAUUUGCAGGUCGUCCUUGAGUUCUGAAGCUUCGGGAUUUUGAUUAAGCCAUAUUCCUGGCUUGCUUGGUUUUUCAUCAUAGAGAACUUUCCAUGAGACUUCUAGUCCUCUGCAAUCAUGCAUUUUUAUUCCUGAAUGACAAACGCAUCAAGCUGGCCAAUCAGAAGAAUUCAUCUCAUGGCAUGGGGAUGGUUUGGAAAUAGUCCUUGGUCCUAUGAGCAGUGACUCGAAGGGUUUCAGAGACUUUGUGGCUGGUCCUUCCAGGGGAGACGUAUUUUUUAUGUUGAUAUUGCUUAACUGCAGGGUAUGAUAAAGCUUUGUAAUGAAUAUCAUCUAAACCAUGUGAAUGGAGUGUCCACGGAAUGAUGUCAGUAUAGAGAGGGAGAAAGGUUAAUGCUACAAAAAAAGAUAGAUGUCUCAUAACUUCAUUCAUUCCUUAAGAAAUACUGCCCAUUGUAAAAUUAGUCCUUAAAUUGUACUCACACUAAUAAGACUACUUCUUAUGCAUAAAUUAUUUCAAAUCAUAGAGCCAUUCUUUAUAGACUGUAAGAAAUUAAAUAACUGACUAAAUAAUAUCAUAUCAAUUUUUAAAAAUUGUAUUCAUUAAUACUUUUAUAGCAAAUCACUGGAAAUAAUAGAGCUAAAAUGAAAACUAAAAAUAUUAAAAAUAGCAUUAGCAAUAAGCAUUUAAGUGAAUAGAACUCUGUGUCGGGAACCAAGCCUAGAAUUAUACUUGCCAGAGUUAAUGGCAGAUAUAUUUAUUUUCCAUCCCUAUAUAUACUCGCUGUGUACUUAAUAGCAUUUAUAUAGGCAUUGGAUAAUGGGUAUAGUCCUAUAUAUAUAAAAAACAUGCAUGAGGGUUUGUGCCUAGUCUUAUUGUAAAUUGUUAUGCAAUGUUUGGUUGAUACCACUGGAAUUCUGAGGGAGAAAUAGAGAAGCAGUGUAUC